rnacentral:snRNA from 1 species
AUUGCGUCUUGGACUUUUGACUAAGGUCAAGUGUAGUAUCUGUUCCUAACAGUUUAAUGCUGUUCAUUUUUAUGUAAAAUUAUAUACAAGUAAAGUUUUUCUACCCUGA